rnacentral:lncRNA from 1 species
CACAACUUUCAGGGUGAGCAACCAGAAAUAUCAUAACACACAAUAAAGCAUAUUUCAUUUUAGUCACAGAGUAAUAUAAACAUAUAACAUAUUUCAUCACAACAUCAAUAUCAUAACCAAUCCAUUCAUGACCCAAUGUCGUUUCCUUUUACUGUGUCGUCAUGACCUGUUAUGACUAACAGGUACCUGUUCCUCAACAGGGCAAUUCGAGCCGUCUUCCAUCGCAACUUCCAACCUAUCUCCCCAACUUCUCAAGGACUAACAAGUAAAAACACUGGCACUACGCGCACCAGUGCACCACGAGCCGAAGUCAUUUGGGCGAUACAUCCACCUCCCCGCGCAGAGGGAAGUGACACUCGAAUCACUAUCUCGUAAACGAGAGUCCACCACAUCACAUUCUUAUCGUAGCGCAGUACGAAAAACUCAAACAUGACCGACGACAGUACAAGGAAAUAACAUAGUUUCAUGUCCACAUCAUAACUCAGUACACAUUCUCAAUAACAUGCAUUGCUCAACAAUCAUAAAGUUUAUCUCACCAUUCUCAAAAUAUACAGUGUUCCCUCAUCAUAAUGUUCAACACGUCCUGCUCAUCACCUUUCAUGCAUAGUCUCAAUACUAUAUAUUAACUCACUGAUCACAAACCAAUACACAUCCCCACUAAUAUGUAUUACAAAACUAAUCAUCGAUUCAAACACAAUCUCAAUAUUCUUCACUCAUAAUCUCAAUGAUAAACAUCAACUCAUCAAACACAAGAUUUUACUACACCGAAUAAAAUACAAAUUCAUAUACAACACCACAACAUCUAAUAAAAGUACUACUACAUCAAAUAAAUCACCAUAGAACAUAUAAAAUUACUACUACCACAUAAAAGUAUUCAACUUUUAUAAUUUAUUUUUAAAUAUAAGAUAAUCCCUCAAUCCCUCAAAUUAAAUUACGAAAAUCACCCGUAUUUACUAACAAAACAACAAACUACACCUUAUUAUUAUAUAAUUUAAUUUUAUGACAGCAAAAGUUUAAUCAUAUAUAUAUAAACUUAAUAAUUCUAAUAUUUAUAUAUCACAAUAUAAAUAUUAGAUAAAAACUACUUUAAUAUUUAGACAUUAUAAUAUAAUACUAAAUAAAACUAAAUUGACUAACGUUUGCUAAUAAUUAAACUAUCCCAAACGAAAACUCCCUUUCUCUCACGUAUCACACAGUGAAACACACCUACAUUAUAAAUAUAAUUAUUAUUUUUAUUUUCUUCUAUCCCCUCGGCCCCACACAAUUAAUUUCAUUCAUGUACCAUCAAUUAAGAUCCAAAUAGUUACAUUGCUACUGUGAAAAGAUGAAUAACAUUACACUUACAGCAACAUCCAACAUUUUCCAUAGUUCAAUAAAAUAUAUAAUGUAACUACAUACUGCCAGUAACAAUUUCACGUGAUCCCUCAUCCUUGCAAAAAAACUCUUCACUUUACAAAAUAAUAUAAUAAAACAUACAAAAUUAUAUUCUCAUUCCGCUGCAUUACUAAGCGUCACAUAAUCAAUAAAAUUCAUUCGGUUCCUCCACAUACAUAUCAUACACUGUCAGUCUUUCUUUCUUUUUUUUAUUUCUUCAAAACACGAAACACACCAAAACCUAUAUAUAUUACCCAGCCCUACUUUAUUUUAUUUCUUCUGCAACUCCUGACUAUAUGAGUCCUUCUCUACACAAAACGUUGCCUUCCACUAGAAGCUAUAUUCCCACUCACGUAACUACUCCAUGCAGAAGACCCAUGCAUACACCCCACUUUUCUUAGCUCCAGUUAGCCUCUUCUAUUACCUUCCAAUCUCCUCUCUGUAUGAUUUUCCUAUCAACCUAAAUUACUGACAACUUUAUCUCUACUACUUUUUCUACUCCAGUAACUACACCUUAUCCUUCACGGUGCAACCCUCUUACCCUCAAGCUCACUCUUAUCUCACUCCGAUCUACCAAGGGUAGAACCGUGUCACUCCCGAGGCACCAUGAAGGCAUAAGAAUCCUCACAAUUCCGAUCAAAACUCUCAUGAAACAAUGUUCUCAUCUACAAAACAUACCCGCAGAUACAUAUAUACUUUUCAAAAGACAAAAAGCAGGACAUAUUAAACAUUUAUUCAUACAUCAAAAUUUGAUAUGCCUAUAAUAUCUUAGUUACUCCCCUUACCUGGAUUCCAGAAGCUUUGCUCACGCUUUUAAUUCUUCACGAUUAGGCUUCCUAAACCUUCAGUAUACUCACUGGUCUCUCCCCAAACGUUUUGCUAAGAAAUAGUGUGCUAGGGUUCUCUUUUCUAAUAUUCUCACGACUGGGUUGUAAAUCUUAUAAGUUUCAAUCCUAAAUAAAAUAUAAAUACCCUAGAUAUGACCUAAACCUUCUCUACUUUUUAAAAUAUCAUCAACCACCAAAUUUUUUUAAAAUCUAAAAUAUCUAGUAAUGAUUUUCUCUAAAUAUAAUAUUUCUUUUAAUAUUUAAACCCACCAAAAUUAUAUCUCUUAUUCUCUUUUAACUAAUUUUUAAAAUAACAACAACUAAAUCCUCUAAAAGAUUU